UACAGAGGGUGCAAACGUUGUUCGGAUUUACUGGGCGUAAAGCGCAUGUAGGCUGCUUCGCAAGUCGGAUGUGAAAGCCCUGGGCUCAACCCAGGAAGUGCAUUCGAAACUGCAGAGCUGGAGUCCUGGAGAGGAAGGCGGAAUUCUCGGUGUAGAGGUGAAAUUCGUAGAUAUCGAGAGGAACACCGGUGGCGAAGGCGGCCUUCUGGACAGUGACUGACGCUGAGACGCGAAAGCGUGGGGAGCAAACAGG
rnacentral:rRNA from 1 species